CACCGCGGUUAUACGAGAGGCCCAAGUUGAUAGAUGCCGGCGUAAAGAGUGGUCAGUAUAAUAUUACACUAAAGCCAAACACCUUCAAAGCUGUCAUACGCAAUCGAAGGCAGGAAGCCCUUCCACGAAAGUGGCUUUAAACAAUACAAUCCACGAAAGCUAGGGAA
rnacentral:rRNA from 2 species